AAUUCUUAGUAGUGCUAUUGCUGGGUCUGUGACUCUAAUUUUGUUCUUUGCUGUUGGAUAAACGUUGGCAGCCACAGGGUGCAACGAAUUUCCAGAGAGGCCAGGCCUGGGUCUGUGUUACGAGCUAGUUUUUCCUUUUUGAGUCAACCAUGCUGAAAACAAUUCCCAUUUAGAAAGUAAGUGAGGGCAACCAGGUUCCAGGUACACUUAACCAUAAAUUGCUUGAGAGUUGCAGUGUCUACUGGAUGACUCCCUUUAAGAACUUCCACCCAAAUCCCAUUACGGAACACCACCAUCCUCACAAGCUUAAGUGUCACUCUUUUGGAGUUAUUUUCUUCUUCCAAAUCAAUUUGCGAGUACAGCCCAAACAAAAAUGCCUCUUUUAAUUUCAGCAGUUGCUCAAGGAUUUCUUACCUUGAAGUCAAGGUUGCCAAUAGCAACAAACUUCCCCGAUAAAUAUGGCAAGAUGCAGUGCACAUCUUUAUGCUAAUGCCUUAUACUUCGGUACAGUCUUUUCAUCCUUGGGUUUUACAUGAUUUGACAGUACUAGUGAAUCUUCAAAAUACCUUUAAAAGGCAUGUGAGAUCUUAUCAGCCCCCCGUUUUGCCAAAACUCAGAUUCCGACCCCCUGAGGUAGUUGAACAUGGAGCUGAACUUGGAAUCUGGAAUCCUGAGCUCACUGGGACUCAGCCACAAAAAAAUGAUGCAACAAGACUUUUUAAAAAAUACUAUAUUAAGUAUAGGAACGGUGCUAAGUGCUUUCUUUGAUUUUGCUCAUUUCAUUGUUUAGUCCUCAAAUAAGGAAUUGAGAUUCACAGAGGUUGUCACUUGUCUAAAGCCCAAAUCCAAACCAGGCCGUGUCUCUCUCCAAAUCCCGGGCUCAGAACCAUCAUGCUGUCAUUGCAGGAGCCUCUGAGACUCAAGAAACUGGGUCUGGAGAAGCGUGGGACAACUGAGUGCUCUCUCUGAUGUCUCACUUCAGCCAGUAAGAGACACUCCACGGAGUACAGGCUUUUAUCCAGGGCAAGGUCACCAAGGGGUUGAAGCCCCAAUUUCAUUGAGAACGCAUCAAGGACAGAGCAAGUGCCCAGGAAAACCAAAGCAGGCGUUUCCUGGCCCCACAGCCCCAGAAACAAUGUCCUAAAGGAAGUGGUGGAAAGGGCCCAGCCCGCUGGCAACUUACAGAGUUUUCUGGUACUUCCCAGCCUUACAGGGACAGUGUCUGUGGAUGGCUUUGGCCAACUGGACGAACAGGAACACCAGGAGGCCCAGAAGCAACAUGGAGCCCAAAGUGAUGACGAAAGGCACAUACCAUGCUGAUGAAGAAUAAACGUUUUUUCUCAGGACCUGGCGGAUGACCUGCGGCUUGAAUGACAGAGUGAGGGACGCUGCUGAGGCCUCCAACACCAGGACCCUUGGAAACAGCAUACCUGAGCCAAUGGAGUAACGAAAAGACCUGGGACUGGAAUCAAGGUCAGUACACGUCAGCUUGAAAUUCUGAAUGUUUGUGCCAACUCUCAAACCCACUGGGAUGGCCAGGAAAUAAGAGUUUGGGGUACAAAUUGGCUUUUCAUCAUUUUCUUCAAGGACGUUCACAGUUACCUAGAGCAGCAAGAAGGUGGCGUGGUUAACAGCUAAAAUUCACUGAGAACUUUCUGUGUGCCAGGCACUGGGCUAUGCGCUUUUGGUGAGCCAGCUCAUUGAACCUCGCCUGAGAUAGAAAAUAUGGUUAUUCCCAUUCUACAGAUGAGGAAACUGAGGCUUAGAAAGAUUAGGGAGGGGAACUUCAGGCCGUUCAGUUUGGUGAGUGUCGCAGUUCAGGCAAUUUGAACUCAGGUCUGUCCCCCGCCCCCGACAAAUACAUCCAGACUCAUGGGCUCAUCCCCAAUUAAUGCUGAGUGGUUUUCCCAGUAAUGAUUGUAAAUUUAUGGUGAUGCUCUAUACUUCCUUGCCCAUCACCCUUGUGAAUGGGAGGUUCUGUCUUUAACUUUGGAUCAUAGAGCAAUGGUUCUCAGCCCUGGCUCCACUUUCAUGGGACCUCUCCAGACCAAACGAACUGGACUCUCUGGAGGGUGGGGCCCAGGCACUUUUUUAAAUGUUCCCCAGCUGAUUCUAAUAUGCAGCCGGGAUUGAGGACCACUGGGAUAGAAGGAGUCAACCGGGCUAAGCCAGGAUCUCAUCUGUAACCUGGACUAUUAGCACCGCUCGAAGCUGGUGGCCCUAACCUGUCACAAGCAGGAGCCAGCCUAUUCUCCUUCAUUGUCGCCUUUUAUGCUUGGUGAAUUGGAAUACGGCCUGGGAUGCCUGCCAGCACAGAAUCACAGGACGUCAGCCCUGAAAGGGACGUAUGUGAUCAUCACCCUUUUUAAAGGCUUAUGAAUUUUGAAUCGUAUUCAUUCUACCUUUGAAAUUUGGGGAUUUCAGCUAUUUCUGAGCCCGGGAAUAAAUUGAAAUGUUCACUCUAGUUAGCUCCCAAAGUGGAGUCCAUUCAUUUUUUCUCAAAAACCCAGCCUAACAAACACUACAAUUAUCUUCAACUUGGCCCGUCUUUUGCUCAGCUAGCAAUGCCGAGCCUCACACAUCAUUAAAAACGUGUCCCGUUAAUUCAAAGCCACUCAUCGGAGGGACUGGACUAUUCAGGCGAUGGGUUAUCAGGUGGCUCUCCAUUUAAGAGAGAGAGAAAUUGGACACAAAGAUAAGCGUUGCUCAGACCCCCUUGGAAACUUGGGAUCAAAGUUGAGAAAUGAACUCCGUCUCCUGACUGAAGCAGUUGUUCCCUGUGUCACACGGGGCUGCCUGCCGCUAGCUAUGAGUCUAUGUUGCCUUAUGCUUCCUCACUUUACUGAUGGGAAAGACCAAGAAAUAGUUGCGUCUUCGUGGCCAUCAUAUUACCUUUGGAUAAUCCGAACCACAGACAGCACAGACCUCUUCAACCCUAGCUACUCAAAGGGCAGCCACGGACCAACUACAUCAGCAUCACGUGAAGCGUGUUAGAAAUGCAGAUUCUGAGGCCUACUCAGACCUGCGGACUCAGAAUCUGCAUUUAACCAGAUGCUCAACACCAAAAGUUGAGAACCAGCAUGGCCCUGGGCAAGGUGCAUCAUUUUAAGGUCUACCCUAUCUGAUACAAUGCAGGUGGGGUAGGAACAUGACAAAACUACCGAGGAGGGGGGAAACACAGGGCUACAGUACCACAUCCCACUAUGCAUCCCACCGCUAGCCUAUGCCCACUGCAAAAGCGAAGAGAGAUCCGCAGAUGGAAGCUUGCCCCACACAGCGCUAAUCAAUCUUGGUGACCUCCCAAGAGGUCUACGGAUGCCACAACCUUGGGUCGACGGAUGCCAAUCUUUAUUUCCCGGGCUCUGCUAGGUGUGUCCAUGUGUGCCAUCCUGGAAACCACUAGACAUUGCCUGUUACACCUGCAGGAUGGGCUCCAUUAAGGUUCCUCAUUGCUACAGCCACGGAAGGUGCCAGAGAGAGCCCACGUUAGCCAGUCGGGCUGCUAUGAACACACCAACAGCCCCACUCACCGUGACUGAGCUUGUGUCCUCACUGCUGGUGGCCUGGAUUCUGAGAAUAUAGACAGGGGUUGUUUCGUAGUCAGCUUUAGUCACCAGCUGGAGUUCUCCUGUCUGGGGAUUGAUCCAAAAUAUGUUUGGGGACUGGAAGCUGGCCCCUCCGGCAGAGAUGGAGUACACGACGCGGCUGCGGGGGAGGUCUUUAUCAGUGGCGUGCACUUGUCCAACCCGGGUUCGAGCUAGAAGAAUAAAGCACCUGAGAUUAGUACUGCUUUGGGGGGUGAGGGGAGGCACCAUGAGCACACAUUCUCACUGCCAUGGGCAGAAAGACUUUUAGAGGUCUCUUUGCUGUUCAAACUCUGUAUGUUUUAUGUCUUCUAUUCUAUUAAAAUUAAAUCACGCUAAUGAACACCCACUGGGUAACUGGCCCUAAGAUCCAAGCAGUAGAGUAAGGUGUAAAAGACAAUCCAUGCCUUUAUAUAGACUCCAAGCCUGCCAGUUAUGAUGUGAUCAUAAGCAACACAGCAAAGACCAUUUUCAUAGGUCCUCACUUUGCCGCCCUGUUGUCUAAAUGUCUUCUGCAACUUUCAAAUUUUCUGUGUUGAGCAUGAAUUGCUCUUAUAAUAAACAAGAUAAAAAAUAAACAAUUUUUAUUUUUUAACGUUUAUUUAUUUCUGAG